rnacentral:rRNA from 1 species
AGCGAACGUUAGCGGCGGGCCUAACACAUGCAAGUCGAGCGAGAAAGUGGCUUCGGCCACGAGUAAAGCGGCGGACGGGUGAGUAACACGUAGGUAAUCUUCCCUUGAGCAGGGGACAACGAGCCGAAAGGCUCGCUAAUACCGCAUACGUUUCCAGAGGCCCCGGUCUCUGGAAGGAAAGCUAGGCCGCAAGGUCUGGCACUCGAGGAGGAGCCUGCGUCGGAUCAGCUAGUUGGUGGGGUAACGGCCUACCAAGGCGAAGACGCGUAGCUGGGAUGAGAGGAGGAUCAGCAACACUGGGACUGAGACACGGCCCAGACUCCUACGGGAGGCAGCAGUGGGGAAUAUUGGACAAUGGGCGCAAGCCUGAUCCAGCCACGCCGCGUGAGUGAUGAAGGCCUUCGGGUCGUAAAGCUCUGUGGGGAGGGACGAACCGCUGCACGUUCAUAGCGUGCAGCAUGACGGUACCUCCUUAGCAAGCACCGGCUAACUUCGUGCCAGCCGCCGCGGUAA